ensembl:rRNA 5S_rRNA 5S ribosomal RNA
GCUUAUGGCCAUACCAACCUGAGAACGCCCGAUCUCGUCUGAUUUCGGAAGCUAAGCAGAGUCGGGCCUGGUUAGUACUUGGAUGGGAGACCGCCUGGGAAUACCAGGUGCUGUAAGCU